GCCCAGGUGGUGGAAUUGGUAGACACGCUAGCCUUAGGAGCUAGUACCGCAAGGUGUAAGAGUUCGAGUCUCUUCCUGGGCACCA
rnacentral:tRNA from 1 species